GUGCCAGCAGCCGCGGUAAUACGUAGGGUGCGAGCGUUGUCCGGAAUUACUGGGCGUAAAGAGUUCGUAGGCGGUUUGUCGCGUCGUUCGUGAAAACUUGGGGCUUAACUCCAAGCGUGCGGGCGAUACGGGCAGACUUGAGUACUACAGGGGAGACUGGAAUUCCUGGUGUAGCGGUGAAAUGCGCAGAUAUCAGGAGGAACACCGGUGGCGAAGGCGGGUCUCUGGGUAGUAACUGACGCUGAGGAACGAAAGCGUGGGUAGCGAACAGGAUUAGAUACCCUCGUAGUCC
rnacentral:rRNA from 1 species